rnacentral:rRNA from 1 species
GAUGAACGCUGGCGGCGUGCCUAAUACAUGCAAGUCGAGCGAACGGACGAGAAGCUUGCUUCUCUGAUGUUAGCGGCGGACGGGUGAGUAACACGUGGAUAACCUACCUAUAAGACUGGGAUAACUUCGGGAAACCGGAGCUAAUACCGGAUAAUAUUUUGAACCGCAGGGUUAAAAAGUGAAAGACGGUUUUGCUGUACCUUAUAGAUGGAUCCGCGCUGCAUUAGCUAGUUGGUAAGGUAACGGCUUACCAAGGCAACGAUGCAUAGCAGACCUGAGAGGGUGAUCGGCCACACUGGAACUGAGACACGGUCCAGACUCCUACGGGAGGCAGCAGUAGGGAAUCUUCCGCAAUGGGCGAAAGCCUGACGGAGCAACGCCGCGUGGGUGAUGAAGGUCUUCGGAUCGUAAAACUCUGUUAUUAGGGAAGAACAUAUGUGUAAGUAACUGUGCACAUCUUGACGGUACCUAAUCAGAAAGCCACGGCUAACUACGUG